rnacentral:rRNA from 1 species
AGCAGCCGCGGUAAUUCCAGCUCCAAUAGCGUAUAUUAAAGUUGUUGCAGUUAAAAAGCUCGUAGUUGAAUUUCGGGACUAAUAUGUCGGUCGUGCCUCGGUACGUACUGGUUUAUUGGUUUCUCCUUUCUGAAGAACCAUGAUGUCAUUUAUUUGGUGUCGUGGGGAAUCAGGACUGUUACUUUGAAAAAUUAGAGUGUUUAAAGCAGGCUCACGCUUGAAUACAUUAGCAUGGAAUAAUGAAAUAGGACGUUUGAUUCUAUUUUGUUGGUUUCUAGGAUCGACGUAAUGAUUAAUAGGGAUAGUUGGGGGCAUUAGUAUUCAAUUGUCAGAGGUGAAAUUCUUGGAUUUA